rnacentral:rRNA from 1 species
GAUGAACGCUGGCGGCGUGCCUAAUACAUGCAAGUAGAACGCUGAAGGAAGGAGCUUGCUCUUUCCGGAUGAGUUGCGAACGGGUGAGUAACGCGUAGGUAACCUGCCUGGUAGCGGGGGAUAACUAUUGGAAACGAUAGCUAAUACCGCAUAACAGUAGAUAUUGCAUGAUAUCUGCUUGAAAGGGGCAAUUGCUCCACUACCAGAUGGACCUGCGUUGUAUUAGCUAGUUGGUGAGGUAACGGCUCACCAAGGCGACGAUACAUAGCCGACCUGAGAGGGUGAUCGGCCACACUGGGACUGAGACACGGCCCAGACUCCUACGGGAGGCAGCAGUAGGGAAUCUUCGGCAAUGGACGGAAGUCUGACCGAGCAACGCCGCGUGAGUGAAGAAGGUUUUCGGAUCGUAAAGCUCUGUUGUAAGAGAAGAACGAGUGUGAGAGUGGAAAGUUCACACU